rnacentral:rRNA from 1 species
UACGUAGGCAGCGAGCGUUGUUCGGAUUCACUGGGCGUAAAGGGUGCGUAGGCGGUCGGGUAAGUCUGAUGUGAAAUCUCACAGCUUAACUGUGAAACUGCAUUGGAUACUAUCCGGCUCGAGGAAUGGAGGGGAGACUGGAAUACUUGGUGUAGCAGUGAAAUGCGUAGAUAUCAAGUGGAACACCAGUGGCGAAGGCGAGUCUCUGGACAUUUCCUGACGCUGAGGAGCGAAAGCGUGGGGAGCGAACAGG